rnacentral:rRNA from 1 species
GAUGAACGCUGGCGGCGUGCCUAAUACAUGCAAGUCGAGCGAACGGACGAGAAGCUUGCUUCUCUGAUGUUAGCGGCGGACGGGUGAGUAACGCGUGGAUAACCUACCUAUAAGACUGGGAUAACUUCGGGAAACCGGAGCUAAUACCGGAUAAUAUUUUGAACCGCAUGGUUCAAAAGUGAAAGACGGUCUUGCUGUCACUUAUAGAUGGAUCCGCGCUGCAUUAGCUAGUUGGUAAGGUAACGGCUUACCAAGGCAACGAUGCAUAGCCGACCUGAGAGGGUGAUCGGCCACACUGGAACUGAGACACGGUCCAGACUCCUACGGGAGGCAGCAGUAGGGAAUCUUCCGCAAUGGGCGAAAGCCUGACGGAGCAACGCCGCGUGAGUGAUGAAGGUCUUCGGAUCGUAAAACUCUGUUAUUAGGGAAGAACAUAUGUGUAAGUAACUGUGCACAUCUUGACGGUACCUAAUCAGAAAGCCACGGCUAACUACGU